rnacentral:rRNA from 1 species
GAUGAACGCUGGCGGCGUGCCUAAUACAUGCAAGUCGAGCGAACAGACGAGGAGCUUGCUCCUCUGACGUUAGCGGCGGACGGGUGAGUAACACGUGGAUAACCUACCUAUAAGACUGGGAUAACUUCGGGAAACCGGAGCUAAUACCGGAUAAUAUAUUGAACCGCAUGGUUCAAUAGUGAAAGACGGUUUUGCUGUCCCUUAUACAUGGAUCCGCGCCGCAUUAGCUAGUUGGUAAGGUAACGGCUUACCAAGGCAACGAUGCGUAGCCGACCUGAGAGGGUGAUCGGCCACACUGGAACUGAGACACGGUCCAGACUCCUACGGGAGGCAGCAGUAGGGAAUCUUCCGCAAUGGGCGAAAGCUUGACGGAGCAACGCCGCGUGAGUGAUGAAGGUCUUCGGAUCGUAAAACUCUGUUAUUAGGGAAGAACAAAUGUGUAAGUAACUAUGCACGUCUUGACGGUACCUAAUCAGAAAGCCACGGCUAACUACGUG